rnacentral:misc_RNA from 1 species
CCUUCAGUUCAAUUACAACAGCCAAAGCGAUUGCACAGUAAACGACGACGAUGUGUGUGAGAGAACGACAAUGGUGAUCGGAAGUGACGAAAAAACCGACGGCGACAGUGAGAGAAAACGCCAAUGGGAAUUGGAAGGCUGAAAUCGAUGAUUAGAGAGAGUGUUUUUAUUGAUCGAAAAGUUAUAAUGAACUUUAACUCGAACAAUGAUAUGAU